UACAGAGGGUGCGAGCGUUGUUCGGAAUUACUGGGCGUAAAGCGCGCGCAGGCGGCCCUUUAAGUCUACCCGUGAAAUGCCGGAGCUCAACUCCGUGCACGCCGGGGGAUACUGGGGGGCUGGAGACAGGUAGAGGCAAGCGGAAUUCCGGGUGUAGCGGUGGAAUGCGUAGAUAUCCGGAAGAACACCUGAGGCGAAGGCGGCUUGCUGGGCCUGAUCUGACGCUGAGGCGGCGAAAGCGUGGGGAGCAAACAGG
rnacentral:rRNA from 1 species